AUUGAACGCUGGCGGCAGGCCUAACACAUGCAAGUCGAGCGGAUGAGUGGAGCUUGCUCCAUGAUUCAGCGGCGGACGGGUGAGUAAUGCCUAGGAAUCUGCCUGGUAGUGGGGGACAACGUUUCGAAAGGAACGCUAAUACCGCAUACGUCCUACGGGAGAAAGUGGGGGAUCUUCGGACCUCACGCUAUCAGAUGAGCCUAGGUCGGAUUAGCUAGUUGGUGAGGUAAAGGCUCACCAAGGCGACGAUCCGUAACUGGUCUGAGAGGAUGAUCAGGCACACUGGAACUGGGACACGGUCCAGACUCCUACGGGAGGCAGCAGUGGGGAAUAUUGGACAAUGGGCGAAAGCCUGAUCCAGCCAUGCCGCGUGUGUGAAGAAGGUCUUCGGAUUGUAAAGCACUUUAAGUUGGGAGGAAGGGCAGUAAGCUAAUACCUUGCUGUUUUGACGUUACCAACAGAAUAAGCACCGGCUAACUUCGUGCCAGCCGCCGCCGUAAAAC
rnacentral:rRNA from 1 species